AACGAACGCUGGCGGCAGGCCUAACACAUGCAAGUCGAACGCCGUAGCAAUACGGAGUGGCAGACGGGUGAGUAACACGUGGGAACCUUCCCGAUGGUACGGAAUAGCUCAGGGAAACUUGGGGUAAUACCGUAUACGCCCGCAAGGGGAAAGAUUUAUCGCCAUUGGAUGGGCCCGCGUCGGAUUAGCUAGUUGGUGAGGUAAAGGCUCACCAAGGCGACGAUCCGUAGCUGGUCUGAGAGGACGAUCAGCCACAUUGGGACUGAGACACGGCCCAAACUCCUACGGGAGGCAGCAGUGGGGAAUAUUGGACAAUGGGCGCAAGCCUGAUCCAGCCAUGCCGCGUGAGUGAUGAAGGCCUUAGGGUUGUAAUGCUCUUUUAGCGGGGAAGAUAAUGACGGUACCCGCAGAAUAAGCCCCGGCUAACUUCGUGCCAGCCGCCGCAGUAACAC
rnacentral:rRNA from 1 species